rnacentral:lncRNA from 1 species
GAUAAGACCCUAAAGUCUUAUCGUAGGCUCUGAUACCAAUUGAUAAGACCCUAAAGUCUUAUCGUGGAAGAAAGGGGAGAAAUGGGGAUGAUAAUGAUCGCUUCGAGGGGAUCGGCCUCCUUGAUCGCUUCGAGGGGAUCGGCCCUCCUUGAUCACUUUGAGGGGAUCGACCCUCCUUGAUCACUUCGAGGGGAUCGGCCUCCUAGGGUUUGUCCAAAGACAGAAUAGUAUUUUUCAUAGAUUACCGAAAAGAAGUAGUUAC